CGUGCAGUACCGCCUUGGGGUGAUAGUGAGCCACAGAAUGGAGCAAUUCUAUCUUUAAACAAGUCGUGUGAUUUGGCUUCUCAGUCAGAGCUAAAACUGAAGGCUGCCACAUGAUCACUUGGAAGGCUGUUUCUCCACGUUACUAUUGUCUCCAGAGAUGGUAAGGAGAGGAGGAAGAUGGAAAACUGGAGAAACAAGUGUUUGAAAAAUCAAUUUUAAAAAUGAUUGUCCUAAAGUAGUGUCCUGAGUGAACAGUUGUAUUUGGUAUCUAUUGUUAGAAGAACAUCUAUGAUGUGGAGGUGCCGGUGCUGGGGUGGACAAAGUCAAAAGUCACAUGACACCAGGUUAUAGUCCAACAGGUUUAAGUGGAUCGAUCACAAGCUUUCAGAGCGCAACCCAUUCGUCAGGUGCAGAGAGAGAGAGCACACACAGUCCGUUGGAAGAGUAUAUAUGUCUUCAUUCUUGUUAUCUUUUCCUCACUACUAAUAUCAGUAAGAAUCUUAAGUUACUUGCGUCAAACUGUCCUAUCUUCAACAAAUUAUGCUAUUUGCAUGAUUUAUUGAAGAUAAUUGUUAUUAGCGCGUAAAAACAUGCUGUCUAGCUUGAUGUUUAGACUUAAAGGAUAAUGAUAUAUUAACAUGAAAUAUACCUUUCCCAUUUCAUCAUAGCAGUGUAGCAUUUGUAUGUCAGUGGAUUUGCUGUGGAAUUUGUCCAUCUAUUGAAAUUCAAUGAAAAUAGUCUUUACAGUGACAGAGCUAGUAUUCUGUGCAUCACGGCUUCAGUAACAAAAGCCCCACAAUGGCUAGCUGCCAAUGUUUAGAUAUCACAUGCUGGUACUCAAUGCCAUAUUCAUUAGAACAGUCUUAGCAGCCCUUUUUGUUAAAAAUAAAUGUGUUCACAAGCACUGUUGAAAGGCUGGGGCGGGUGGAGAUUUUCAACUAAAUAAUUCUAACAGAUAAUUUGCAGAAUUGCAUCAGCCUGUGGCUCAGGAGAUUAAAUGAUGGUUAAAUUUGUCAAUUAAUUUUAUUCAAGAAAAAAGAUUGAGGUAGUCAAAGGGAUUGACAGAAGUGGAUUUCAUGUGAACUGAACUGAGAAUAAAGAAAAAGUUGAAAAGCUUUCAGCCUAUUUUAACUCUUUUUAUGAAUAUAUACUACACUUGCGAUCAAGUGCUGAAGCUAUAUCUACUAAACAUAAGAAUAUAACAAACAGGACCAGACCUUACAACUAUUUUGCAAUCAAUUAAGAUCUUCCACUUCAAGAAAAAAUACAUGAUGUAACUAUUAUAUGCAUUGUAAUAUAUUACUAUUAAACUUUUGUACAAUGGAUCUUCUACCUCUGUCAAAUAGUUAAGAAUAGUUUAAUUAAAAUGGUGUAUGUAAAUAUGUAAUGAAGAUUUAUAAAUACAUUGUUAUUUGGAGACUAUGAUUCUAAAGUAGAAGUAAGUUUUUAUUUUAGUUCUGUGGAGGUAGCUUUAAAGGUAAGAAACCCCUUUGUUAGUAGAGAGUCAAAACAGCAUUUCCACGAAAUCAUUUGACUUAAGCUAAAUGACUGAAUAAGCUACCUGGUGAGAUAAUCGCUGAAAGGUUUACUUAGUUGAGCUUUUGUGACCACGAAGAGCCCAGAGGCCAGCAGUGAGUGGACUUCAGAGAAAAGAUCCAUACAAAAAAAAUUGCAGCUUGGUUUCAACAGUCUCCAGGCUAUCAGAGGUCAUAAGGUAUUUCAGUAGUCCAAGUAGUCAGGGCUGGAAAACUCUCUAAGGUUUUCUUAGAGUUCAGUAAAAGAAAAGUCACUGACGUAGCCUGUGUCUAUGCCUCUCUAGGAGAGAGGAAGAGAAUCACAUCUGGUGAAUACGCAGUCACCAAAACGGAAAUGCAACCUCAACAACUGAGUAAAAGAAAUUAAAGUGAAGAUAGAAGUGAAACUUCAUUGGCAUUGAGUUUUUCUAAAGGAUAUUGCUGGGGAAAAGGGCUAGUUUUUUAUGUUUAUGAUAAGAUCUUUUCAAAGUGUCAUAUAUAUAAAUAUAGCUUUUUUAUCUUUUGUGUAAUAAACUUGCAUUCUUACAUUAAA